GAUGAACGCUGGCGGCGUGCCUAAUACAUGCAAGUCGAGCGAACGGACGAGAAGCUUGCUUCUCUGAUGUUAGCGGCGGACGGGUGAGUAACACGUGGAUAACCUACCUAUAAGACUGGGAUAACUUCGGGAAACCGGAGCUAAUACCGGAUAAUAUUUUGAACCGCAUGGUUCAAAAGUGAAAGACGGUCUUGCUGUCACUUAUAGAUGGAUCCGCGCUGCAUUAGCUAGUUGGUAAGGUAACGGCUUACCAAGGCAACGAUGCAAAGCCGACCUGAGAGGGUGAUCGGCCACACUGGAACUGAGACACGGUCCAGACUCCUACGGGAGGCAGCAGUAGGGAAUCUUCCGCAAUGGGCGAAAGCCUGACGGAGCAACGCCGCGUGAGUGAUGAAGGUCUUCGGAUCGUAAAACUCUGUUAUUAGGGAAGAACACAUGUGUAAGUAACUGUGCACAUCUUGACGGUACCUAAUCAGAAAGCCACGGCUAACUACGUG
rnacentral:rRNA from 1 species